UCAGCCUUCUCUGUAACAUUAAUUCUGCCACGAGGAUUAGUGUGACCAGAAAAAAAAAAUUGAGUGAGUUUGCAUAUUAGUUUAUUAUAAAGGAAGAGAAUGUGAAGAAAGGCACGAGAUGGCACGAAAAUGGGAGGAAAUAGAAGAGGAAGAAACGAAGACGUGGAAGGGAGAAUGAGAAAGGAAACACAGAUAAUUGAGAUUGAAUAAAAGAUAAGAAGUAACAGAGAGAGAGAGAGAGAGAGAGAGAGAGAGAGAGAGAGUGCAUAAAUGUACAUACAGGCUUAUCAAGGAGCGAAAUGUAGUGAAAAAAACCCACCGAAUGAACCUGUUUGUUACGAAUGACAAGGUGAUUGAGUUUGAUUUAGGAAAGCUUCAGAAGGAACAAAAGACAGUGAGAAAGAAGCACUGGAUGAACUUGUCUGAAACGAAAUGUUAAAGGUAAUUCGGGUGUCUGUAAUGAAAUGUUAAAGGUAAUUGGGGUGUCUAUAAUGAAAUGGUACAGGUAAUUGGGGUGCCUGUAAUGAAAUGGUACAGGUAAUUGGGGUGUCUGUAAUGAAAUGGUACAGGUAAUUGGGGUGUCUGUAAUGAAAUGGUACAGGUAAUUGGGGUGUCUGUAAUGAAAUGGUACAGGUAAUUGGGGUGUCUGUAAUGAAAUGGUACAGGUAAUUGGGGUGUCUGUAAUGAAAUGGUACAGGUAAUUGGGGUGUCUGUAAUGAAAUGGUACAGGUAAUUGGGGUGUCUGUAAUGAAAUGGUACAGGUAAUUGGGGUGUCUGUAAUGAAAUGGUACAGGUAAUUGGGGUGCCUGUAACGAAAUGGUACAGGUAAUUGGGGUGUCUAUAAU